rnacentral:piRNA from 1 species
UCCGAGCCUGAUUCUUCAUUUGAAAAAUGGA